AACGAACGCUGGCGGCAUGCCUAACACAUGCAAGUCGAACGAGACCUUCGGGUCUAGUGGCGCACGGGUGCGUAACGCGUGGGAAGCUUCCCUUAGGUUCGGAAUACCUCCCCGAAAGGGGUGCUAAUACCGGAUAAUGUCUUCGGACCAAAUAUUUAUCGCCUUUGGAUGGGCCCGCGUUGGCUUAGCUAGUUGGGAGGGUAAAAGCCUACCACGGCGACGAUACAUAGCUGGGUUGAGAGGCUGAUCCGCCACACUGGGAAUGAGACGCGGCCCAGAAUCCUACGGGAGGGAGGAGAGGGGAAUCUUGGACAAUGGGCGAAGGCCUGAUCCAGCUAUGCCGGGUGAGUGAUGAAGGCCUUAGGGUUGUGAAGCUCUUUUACCCGGGAUGAUAAUGACGGUACCGGGAGAAUAAGCUCCGGCUAACUCCGUG
rnacentral:rRNA from 1 species